UACGUAGGUCCCGAGCGUUGUCCGGAUUUAUUGGGCGUAAAGCGAGCGCAGGUGGUUUAUUAAGUCUGGUGUAAAAGGCAGUGGCUCAACCAUUGUAUGCAUUGGAAACUGGUAAACUUGAGUGCAGGAGAGGAGAGUGGAAUUCUAUGUGUAGCGGUGAAAUGCGUACAUAUAUGGAGGAACACCGGUGGCGAAAGCGGCUCUCUGGCCUGUAACUGACACUGAGGCUCGAAAGCGUGGGGAGCAAACAGG
rnacentral:rRNA from 1 species